rnacentral:rRNA from 1 species
UGGGGAAUAUUGCACAAUGGGCGCAAGCCUGAUGCAGCCAUGCCGCGUGUGUGAAGAAGGCUUUCGGGUUGUAAAGCACUUUCAGCGGGGAAGAAGGCGAUAAGGUUAAUAACCUCAUCGAUUGACGUUACCCGCAGAAGAAGCACCGGCUAACUCCGUGCCAGCAGCCGCGGUAAUACGGAGGGUGCAAGCGUUAAUCGGUAUUACUGGGCGUAAAGCGCACGCAGGCGGUCUGUCGAGUCGGAUGUGGAAACCCCGGGGUCACCCUGGGAAAUGCGAUGGAAACUGGCGGGCUAGAAUCUUGUAGAGGGGGGUAGAAUUCCAGGUGUAGCGAUGAAAUGCGGAGAGAUCUGGAGGAAUACCGGUGGCGAAGGCGGCCCCCUGGACAAAGACUGACGCUCAGGUGCGAAAGCGUGGGGAGCAAACAGG